GUAGUCAUAUGCUUGUCUCAAAGAUUAAGCCAUGCAUGUCCAAGUACAAGCCUCACUAAGGUGAAACCGCGAAUGGCUCAUUAAAUCACACCUAAUCUACUGGAUAGUUAACAGGUACUUGGAUACCUGCGGUAAUUCUGGAGCUAAUACAUGCGAAAAGCCUCGAACUUACGUGAGAGGUGCUUUUAUUAGAUCAAAACCAAUCGGCUUCGGCUGUACUCUUGGUGACUCUGAAUAACUUUGGGCUGAUCGUAUAGCCUUGCGCUGACGACAUAUCCUUCGAAGGUGUGCCCUAUCAACUGUCGACUGUGGCAUAGACGCCCACAGUGGUUUUGACGGGUAACGGGGAAUCAGGGUUCGAUUCCGGAGAGGGAGCCUUAAAAACGGCUACCACAUCUAAGGAAGGCAGCAGGCACGCAAAUUACCCAAUGAUCGAAGAUCGAGGUAGUGACGAAAAAUAACGAUCCAGGACUCAUCCGAGGCCCUGGAAUCGGAAUGAGUACACUUUAAAACCGUCCCCGAGGAUCUAUUGGAGGGCAAGUCUGGUGCCAGCAGCCGCGGUAAUUCCAGCUCCAAUAGCGUAUAUUAAAGUUGUUGUGGUUAAAAAGCUCGUAGUUGGAUCUCGGCGGACUGAGGGCGGUUUGCUUGCUAGUAUUACUGCCCUAUAGUCCGUAGUUUUGCCAGAGGUUUCGGGGUGCUCUUAAUCGAGUGUCCCGGGAUGCUGGCAGGUUUACUUUGAAAAAAUUAGAGUGCUCAAGCAGCUAUUACGCCUGAUAUUCGUGCAUGGAAUAAUAGAAUAGAAGUCGUUCUAUUUGUUGGUUUCGGAAAUCGACUUAAUGAUUAUAGGGACAGUCGGGGGCAUUUGUAUUCAAACGACAGAGGUGAAAUUCUUGGACCGUUUGAAGACAAACUACUGCGAAAGCAUUUGCCAAGAAUGUUUUCAUUAAUCAAGAACGAAAGUUAAAGGUUCGAAGGCGAUUAGAUACCGCCCUAGUUUUAACCAUAAACGAUGCCAGCUAGCGAUCUGCGGACGUUUUUUUUGUAGACUCCGCAGGAAGCUUCCGGGAAACCAAAGCAUUUGGGUUCCAGGGGAAGUAUGGUUGCAAAGCUGAAACUUAAAGGAAUUGACGGAAGGGCACCACCAGGAGUGGAGCCUGUGGCUUAAUUUGACUCAACACGGGAAAUCUCACCAGGCCCGGACACUGGAAGGAUUGACAGAUUGAUAGCUCUUUCUUGAUUCGGUGGGUGGUGGUGCAUGGCCGUUCUUAGUUGGUGGAGUGAUUUGUCUGGUUAAUUCCGAUAACGAACGAGACUCUGUCCUGCUAAAUAGUGUCUGCUUCUCUUUUGAGCAGACAAUUCUUCUUAGAGGGACUGGCGACUCUUAGUCGCACGAGAUUGAGCAAUAACAGGUCUGUGAUGCCCUUAGAUGUUCUGGGCCGCACACGCGCUACACUGAAUAGAUCAGCGUGUUCUCCCUUUCCGAGAGGAACGGGUAAACCGCUGAACCCUAUUCGUGGUAGGGAUCGGGGCUUGCAAUUAUUCCCCGUGAACCAGGAAUUCCCAGUAGGCGCAAGUCAUAAGCUUGCGUCGAUUACGUCCCUGCCCU
rnacentral:rRNA from 1 species